AGAGUUUGAUCCUGGCUCAGGAUGAACGCUAGCGGCAGGCCUAAUACAUGCAAGUCGAACGGUAAGGCUCCUUCGGGAGUACACGAGUGGCGCACGGGGGAGUAACGCGUAUGUAUGCAACCUACCUUGAACUGAGGGAUAGCCCAUAGAAAUCUGGAUUAAUACUUCAUAAUAAUAUAAAACGACAUCGUUUAAUAUUUAAAGCUCCGGCGGUUUAAGAUGGGCAUGCGUGACAUUAGUUAGUUGGUAAGGUAACGGCUUACCAAGACAGCGAUGUCUAGGGGUUCUGAGAGGAUUUUCCCCCACACUGGUACUGAGACACGGACCAGACUCCUACGGGAGGCAGCAGUAAGGAAUAUUGGGCAAUGGACGAAAGUCUGACCCAGCCAUGCCGCGUGCAGGAUGACAGCCCUAUGGGUCGUAAACUGCUUUUAUAUGGGAAGAAACUCCACUAUGUAUAGUGGACUGACGGUACCAUACGAAUAAGGAUCGGCUAACUCCGUGCCAGCAGCCGCGGUAAUACGGAGGAUCCAAGCGUUAUCCGGAUUUAUUGGGUUUAAAGGGUGCGCAGGCGGAUUAUUAAGUCAGCGGUGAAAUCCUACAGCUUAACUGUAGAACUGCCGUUGAUACUGAUAGUCUUGAGUAUAGUUGAGGUAGGCGGAAUGUGUCAUGUAGCGGUGAAAUGCUUAGAUAUGACACAGAACACCGAUUGCGAAGGCAGCUUACUAAACUAUAACUGACGCUGAGGCACGAAAGCGUGGGGAGCGAACAGGAUUAGAUACCCUGGUAGUCCACGCCGUAAACGAUGAAUACUCGCUGUUAGCAAUACACAGUUAGCGGCUAAGCGAAAGCAUUAAGUAUUCCACCUGGGGAGUACGAUCGCAAGAUUGAAACUCAAAGGAAUUGACGGGGGCCCGCACAAGCGGAGGAACAUGUGGUUUAAUUCGAUGAUACGCGAGGAACCUUACCUGGGCUUAAAUGUAGUUUGAUUUUACUGGAAACGGUAUUCCCUUCGGGGCAAAUUACAAGGUGCUGCAUGGUUGUCGUCAGCUCGUGCCGUGAGGUGUCGGGUUAAGUCCCAUAACGACCGCAAACCCCUAUCGUUAGUUGCCAUCAGGUUAAGCUGGGCACUCUAACGAGACUGCCGUCGCAAGGCGAGAGGAAGGUGGGGAUGACGUCAAAUCAGCACGGCCCUUACGUCCGGGGCUACACACGUGUUACAAUGGUCGGUACAGAGGGCAGCUACCUGGUGACAGGAUGCAAAUCUCGAAAAUCCGAUCUCAGUUCGGAUCGUAGUCUGCAACCCGACUACGUGAAGCUGGAUUCGCUAGUAAUCGCAUAUCAGCCAUGAUGCGGUGAAUACGUUCCCGGGCCUUGUACACACCGCCCGUCAAGCCAUGGAAGUUGGGAGAGCCUGAAGCCGAUAACCGCAAGGAGUCGUCUAGGGUUAUACCAAUGACUGGGGCUAAGUCGUAACAAGGUAACC
rnacentral:rRNA from 1 species